ACGUAGGGUGCGAGCGUUAUCCAGAAUUAUUGGGCGUAAAGAGCUCGUAGGCGGUUUGCCGCGUCUGUCGUGAAAGUCCGGGGCUUAACCCCGGAUCUGCGGUGGGUACGGGCAGACUAGAGUGCAGUAGGGGAGACUGGAAUUCCUGGUGUAGCGGUAGAAUGCGCAGAUAUCAGGAGGAACACCGAUGGCGAAGGCAGGUCUCUGGACUGUAACUGACGCUGAGGAGCGAAAGCAUGGGGAGCGAACAG
rnacentral:rRNA from 1 species